GGAAGUAAUUGCCAACUGUGAACUUAAGGUUCACGGUUAUUGAUGAUUUCUUCACUAUGAAAUCCUUUUGUGGGCUGACGCAGGUAGAAAAAUAUUCUCCUGCGGCUUUUGGUAGUGCAGCUGAUUUCAUGAGAUAAGUAUUGACCAAGAAUAUAAAAUAAAAUACAAAUAUCUUUUAGUUCAAGUAAAAAAAUUAACACUGUAGACCAAUACUUAGUCCUACGAAGAAAAAGGGAAAAAAACACUUAUUGUCGUAGUACAAGAGAUAGGAGACUGAAGGCUGACCCGUUAUGGGGCAUUGUCACCCAAACAAUCUCUUUCUCAGUCUUCAUCUGUGAUACAAAGACUAAUUGGUCCCUUAAAAAGGAAAAUAAAACUGUUUCAGACACUGGACUGUCUUUAUGCGCUGACAGGGUGUUGGACUUUGUACAAGAGAUAAGAGACUUAAAGCUGGCCCCUUAAGGGGUUGGUGUCACCCAAACAAUCUCUUCCUUAGUCUUGAUUUGUGAUGCUAAUACUUGUUCCCCGAAAAAGAGAAUAAAACUGUUUCGGACACUGGACUGUCUUUAUGCGCUGAUUGGGUGUUGGACUUUGUACAAGAGAUGGGAGACUUAAAGCUGGCCCUUUAAGGGGAUUCAAGGAAGUGGGGGAAAAUAUCGCCUCAUUUACUUCUUCCUCCUGAACAUUUUCUCCUAAAUACCUCAAUCACCAUUGUGUAAAAAAGAAAUUCGAGGACGCGAGAAUACUUCUUAUUCUGCUGAGCGAAGCCAUGUUGUACACUAUGACGAAAACUCCUGCAAUGUUCAUGGAAAAAUAUCAACUUUGGAAAGAAAGCAAGAAUGUUAGUGGUCUCUUGCUGUCGGCCAUUCUUCUUCACACCCAUUUCUAUAGCUUUUAAACAGUUUUGUUAAGUCUUCAUGAAAGUAUUUUACCUUGUGUUAGUAACAUUCACGUCAAACGCAACGCCAAACGUCUGUCUAAAUACAUGCUUUUUUUUCCGAACUUGACAUGUUCUCUGAUGGGAGGACUUGUCAGCAAGUGUGGCUAUGUGUACCAUAACAAGUGCUGUCAAUGAAUUUUCGUCUUUCGUUUCUACAUAGAUUAGACCACCUCAAUAACGAAACCAAGGACAAAUAUCAUGUACAUUAGCCAGUUUUCUAAACAAUUUGUGAGAGUUGUCUGCAUUGUGGUACCUACAUCUUUUAAUAACGCAUCUGUAUUACAGCAGACGUUUGGUGAGAACAUGUUUUCAAUCCUUUAAAAAUAAAGUAUUUGCAAAAGCUGUCUACCUUGUGAUAACACCAUCGUGUAAUACGCAUGUGUCGGAGACAGACAUUUAGUUGCACAUAACGCAUACGUUUAAAAAUAAAUUUUACUACCACAAGGUAGACAGCUUGUACAGAGUUAAGAAAACUGUUUUCAAGAGGUGGGCGUGGUGGGGGAGGUCGGAUGGAGAAAAACAACUGUCUCAAAUUGUCGUAAUAUUACUGUAUUAUAAAAUUGUUG